UGUCGAGCUAUCCUGUAACUCCUUUGAGGGCUGCUGACAGAGGGCUUGGUGAACCAGUUUCACAAAACAGCUCAAAUGCAACGGUGAAAAAGAAAUGGAAAACAGAAAGCCAAGAAAGGAGCACCAUUAAUUAAAACUAUGGAGCAAUUUGUGGCUGGAUCAUUGUUCACUUCUGUGAUGAAUUGUCAAGAGAGGAAGAACAUUACAAAUUCAAAGGGGAGAAUUUUGCCAUGUUCGGAUCAUUCUGCUGCGUCCCUUUGUACAUCUGGAUGACAAGGACAGGCAUCUACUUACUGACCACAGCUCCACCUUCAACACUAUAAUCCCAACAAAACUAAUUUCCAAACUCCGAAACCUAGGUCUCUAAUCAGCCCUCUGCAACUGGAUCCUCGACUUCCUGACCAUUAGACCACAAGCAGCAAAGACAGGCAACAACACCCCCUCCACGAUAUUCCUCAACACCAGUGCCCCGCAAGGCUGCGUACU